rnacentral:rRNA from 1 species
ACACUCCUGCGGGAGGCAGCAGUGGGGAAUAUUGCACAAUGGGCGCAAGCCUGAUGCAGCCAUGCCGCGUGUAUGAAGAAGGCCUUCGGGUUGUAAAGUACUUUCAGCGGGGAGGAAGGCGAUAAGGUUAAUAACCUUGUUGAUUGACGUUACCCGCAGAAGAAGCACCGGCUAACUCCGUGCCAGCAGCCGCGGUAAUACGGAGGGUGCAAGCGUUAAUCGGAAUUACUGGGCGUAAAGCGCACGCAGGCGGUCUGUCAAGUCGGAUGUGAAAUCCCCGGGCUCAACCUGGGAACUGCAUUCGAAACUGGCAGGCUAGAGUCUUGUAGAGGGGGGUAGAAUUCCAGGUGUAGCGGUGAAAUGCGUAGAGAUCUGGAGGAAUACCGGUGGCGAAGGCGGCCCCCUGGACAAAGACUGACGCUCAGGUGCGAAAGCGUGGGGAGCAAAAAGGAUUAGAUACCCCAGUAGUCCCA